rnacentral:lncRNA from 1 species
GAGGUGGGCGGGGCUAAGGCGCAAGGGCUGUCUCAGGUUUCUCAGAAAUAGCUACUGUUGGGUCAUCUCUAGGGAGACUGAGGAAUACUUGUGGGCAGUAUUGACAGAUGCAGAAGUGUUUGGAUCCACACGUCUGCCUUUAGAUUCAUCGCCUUCCCGAUAGCAGCAGGAAUGACAUUUCUAACGUGAAUGUUGUACCGUGCCA